GAUGAACGCUGGCGGCGUGCUUAACACAUGCAAGUCGAACGAUUGAAGCUGGAGCUUGCUUCGGCCGAUUUAGUGGCGGACGGGUGAGUAACGCGUGGGUAACCUGCCUCAUACAGGGGGAUAGCAGUUGGAAACGACUGGUAAAACCGCAUAAGCGCACAGUAUCGCAUGAUACAGUGUGAAAACACUCCGGUGGUAUGAGAUGGACCCGCGUCUGAUUAGCUAGUUGGUGAGGUAACGGCCCACCAAGGCGACGAUCAGUAGCCGGCCUGAGAGGGUGAACGGCCACAUUGGGACUGAGACACGGCCCAAACUCCUACGGGAGGCAGCAGUGGGGAAUAUUGCACAAUGGGGGAAACCCUGAUGCAGCGACGCCGCGUGAGUGAAGAAGUAUUUCGGUAUGUAAAGCUCUAUCAGCAGGGAAGAUAAUGACGGU
rnacentral:rRNA from 1 species